GGAAAGAGUAUGCUCAACACAAGUAUGAAGUUACAGAAAUAAUGAUGUAUAUUUGUACAAAAUGGGAUUGGACAACACUUUGGACACUUGCAGGCUUGAAGAUUUAUGGAAAUACUUUCAAAUGAUGAUUUUAUCUUUUGUUGGUGUAUUUGUUUACACUCAAGUUAGAGAUGUACAAUGCAUUGUUUAUGUUUUAGUUUGGAAACUGAACUGGUGUAUUUCAUUCCAUGGUUGUAUGUUGAGUUGUAAGUGUUAAUUACUUGUGAAGUAGGGAGUAUGUUAUUUAUAUGCAUUGGAAUAAGGCGAUGCUUGGACAGCCUAAACUAUAUUUUGUUAAACUUAAAUCAGGUACUUGAAUAAAAUUCUGAU